GCCUCUUGUUUCCCUUGAUGCUGGUAUCAUUGGCACUGACCAAAUCAUCCUGCAGUCUAGAAAGAAGCAACUUUCUCAGUGAUUGCAUCCUCUGUGACUGAGCCUUGUGUUUUUAACUUUAUUUCAAAUAGAGGAUUGGAAGAAAGAAGAAAGUUCCCAUCCAGAAACAGGGUGGCCUCCCUGAUUCUAACCACGUUUGGACAGAGAAAUUUUGAGAAUGGAGUGGCAAGGGAUCAUGUCACUGAAAACAGAUAGCAGAGGCUGCUUGUUAAACCUCUGCUUGACUGAUACAGUAUGACAACAGCUUUAAACCGAUUUGGAAUGAACAACCAUUCUGAUCCAUUACAACAGUGGAGCAGAGAAUCUACAGUAGUUGUAGACUACAACUCUCAUCAGCCCCAC